AAAUCUCAGCCUUUUGGCUAAGAUCAAGUGUAGUUUCUGUUUUAUCGGUUUAAUAUCUGAUAUGCGAGCUAUCGGCUCACAUGAUAUUAUAUUAAUUUUAAUCAUGCGGAAUUCCCCUAACAGUAGCUUGCUGUUGGGGUUUUUGCUCGCUGCCUUUGCGUUGUGCUACGAAAAAGAAAUCAGAUAGACAAAG